GAUAUGAGUCGUAUCGCGGAACGGUACGCGUUAGGUGGUUUGUAAUGCGUUAUGACUCAGAUCAUAAUGUCACUGUCAGCGGCUGAUGAUCGAGAUUGUUAGAACGAGCGAACAAGUUUAUUCACAACGAUAAGAUGUCCUACAAUCUACAUGAAAUGAUAUGAGUCGUAUCGCGGAACGGUACGCGUUAGGUGGUUUGUAAUGCGUUAUGACUCAGAUCAUAAUGUCACUGUCAGCGGCUGAUGAUCGAGAUUGUUAGAACGAGCGAACAAGUUUAUUCACAACGAGAAGAUGUCGUACAAUCUACUCAUUAUGAAUGAAAUUAUAUGAAACGUAUCGCGGAACCGUACGCCUUAGGUGGUUUGUAAUGCGUUAUGACUCAGAUCAUAAUGUCACUGUCAGCGGCUGAUGAUCGAGAUUGUUAGAACGAGCGAACAAGUUUAUUCACAACGAGAAGAUGUCGUACAAUCUACUCAUUAUGAAUGAAAUUAUAUGAAACGUAUCGCGGAACCGUACGCCUUAGGUGGUUUGUAAUGCGUUAUGACUCAGAUCAUAAUGUCACUGUCAGCGGCUGAUGAUCGAGAUUGUUAGAACGAGCGAACAAGUUUAUUCACAACGAGAAGAUGUCGUACAAUCUACUCAUUCUGAAUAAAAUGAUAUGAGUCGUAUCGCGGAACCGUACGCCUUAGGUGGUUUGUAAUGCGUUAUGACUCAGAUCAUAAUGUCACUGUCAGCGGCUGAUGAUCGAGAUUGUUAGAACGAGCGAACAAGUUUAUUCACAACGAGAAGAUGUCGUACAAUCUACUCAUUCUGAAUAAAAUGAUAUGAGUCGUAUCGCGGAACCGUACGCCUUAGGUGGUUUGUAAUGCGUUAUGACUCAGAUCAUAAUGUCACUGUCAGCGGCUGAUGAUCGAGAUUGUUAGAACGAGCGAACAAGUUUAUUCACAACGAGUAGAUGUCCUACAAUCUACAUGAAAUGAUAUGAGUCGUAUCGCGGAACGGUACGCGUUAGGUGGUUUGUAAUGCGUUAUGACUCAGAUCAUAAUGUCACUGUCAGCGGCUGAUGAUCGAGAUUGUUAGAACGAGCGAACAAGUUUAUUCACAACGAUAAGAUGUCCUACAAUCUACAUGAAAUGAUAUGAGUCGUAUCGCGGAACGGUACGCGUUAGGUGGUUUGUAAUGCGUUAUGACUCAGAUCAUAAUGUCACUGUCAGCGGCUGAUGAUCGAGAUUGUUAGAACGAGCGAACAAGUUUAUUCACAACGAUAAGAUGUCCUACAAUCUACAUGAAAUGAUAUGAGUCGUAUCGCGGAACGGUACGCGUUAGGUGGUUUGUAAUGCGUUAUGACUCAGAUCAUAAUGUCACUGUCAGCGGCUGAUGAUCGAGAUUGUUAGAACGAGCGAACAAGUUUAUUCACAACGAGAAGAUGUCGUACAAUCUACUCAUUCUGAAUAAAAUGAUAUGAGUCGUAUCGCGGAACCGUACGCCUUAGGUGGUUAGUAAUGCGUUAUGACUCAGAUCAUAAUGUCACUGUCAGCGGCUGAUGAUCGAGAUUGUUAGAACGAGCGAACAAGUUUAUUCACAACGAGAAGAUGUCGUACAAUCUACUCAUUCUGAAUGAAAUGAUAUGAGUCGUAUCGCGGAACGGUACGCCUUAGGUGGUUUGUAAUGCGUUAUGACUCAGAUCAUAAUGUCACUGUCAGCGGCUGAUGAUCGAGAUUAUUAGAACGAGCGAACAAGUUUAUUCACAACGAGAAGAUGUCGUACAAUCUACUCAUUAUGAAUGAAAU